GAUGAACGCUGGCGGCGUGCCUAAUACAUGCAAGUCGAGCGAACAGACGAGGAGCUUGCUCCUCUGACGUUAGCGUCGGACGGGUGAGUAACACGUGGAUAACCUACCUAUAAGACUGGGAUAACUUCGGGAAACCGGAGCUAAUACCGGAUAAUAUAUUUAACCGCAUGGUUCAAUAGUGAAAGACGGUUUUGCUGUCACUUAUAGAUGGAUCCGCGCCGCAUUAGCUAGUUGGUAAGGUAACGGCUUACCAAGGCAACGAUGCGUAGCCGACCUGAGAGGGUGAUCGGCCACACUGGAACUGAGACACGGUCCAGACUCCUACGGGAGGCAGCAGUAGGGAAGCUUCCGCAAUGGGCGAAAGCCUGACGGAGCAACGCCGCGUGAGUGAUGAAGGUCUUCGGAUCGUAAAACUCUGUUAUUAGGGAAGAACAAAUGUGUAAGUAACUAUGCACGUCUUGACGGUACCUAAUCAGAAAGCCACGGCUAACUACGUG
rnacentral:rRNA from 1 species